rnacentral:rRNA from 1 species
CACGUAGGGUGCGAGCGUUGUCCGGAAUUAUUGGGCGUAAAGCGCUCGUAGGCGGUCCGUCACGUCGGAUGUGAAAUUCCAGGGCUCAACCCUGGACCUGCAUUCGAUACGGGCGGACUAGAGUUCGGUAGGGGAGACUGGAAUUCCUGGUGUAGCGGUGAAAUGCGCAGAUAUCAGGAGGAACACCGGUGGCGAAGGCGGGUCUCUGGGCCGAUACUGACGCUGAGGAGCGAAAGCGUGGGGAGCGAACAGG